rnacentral:rRNA from 1 species
AGUGAACGCUGGCGGUAGGCCUAACACAUGCAAGUCGAACGGCAGCACCGUAAGAGCUUGCUCUUACGGGUUGCGAGUGGCGGACGGGUGAGGAAUACAUCGGAAUCUACUUUUUCGUGGGGGAUAACGUAGGGAAACUUACGCUAAUACCGCAUACGACCUACGGGUGAAAGCAGGGGAUCUUCGGACCUUGCGCGAUUGAAUGAGCGGAUGUCGGAUUAGCUAGUUGGCGGGGUAAAGGCCCACCAAGGCGACGAUCCGUAGCUGGUCUGAGAGGAUGAUCAGCCACACUGGAACUGAGACACGGUCCAGACUCCUACGGGAGGCAGCAGUGGGGAAUAUUGGACAAUGGGCGCAAGCCUGAUCCAGCCAUACCGCGUGGGUGAAGAAGGCCUUCGGGUUGUAAAGCCCUUUUGUUGGGAAAGAAAAGCAGCAGGUUAAUACCCCGCUGUUCUGACGGUACCCAAAGAAUAAGCACCGGCUAACUUCGUG